rnacentral:rRNA from 1 species
AUUGAACGCUGGCGGUAGGCCUAACACAUGCAAGUCGAACGGCAGCACAGUAAGAGCUUGCUCUUACGGGUGGCGAGUGGCGGAGGGGUGAGGAAUACAGCGGAGUCUACUUUUUCGUGGGGGAAAACGUAGGGAAACUUACGCUAAUACCGCAUACGACCUACGGGUGAAAGCAGGAGAUCUUCGGACCUUGCUCGUUUGAAUGAGGCGAUGUCGGAUUAGCUAGUUGGCGGGGUAAAGGCCCACCAAGGCGACGAUCCGUAGCUGGUCUGAGAGGAUGAUCAGCCACACUGGAACUGAGACACGGUCCAGACUCCUACGGGAGGCAGCAGUGGGGAAUAUUGGACAAUGGGCGCAAGCCUGAUCCAGCCAUACCGCGUGGGUGAAGAAGGCCUUCGGGUUGUAAAGCCCUUUUGUUGGGAAAGAAAAGCCGCAGGCUAAUAUCGAGAUGUUCUGACGGUACCUAAAGAAUAAGCACCGGCUAACUUCGUG